rnacentral:rRNA from 1 species
CCUACGGGUGGCAGCAGUCGAGAAUCAUUCACAAUGGGGGAAACCCUGAUGGUGCGACGCCGCGUGGGGGAAUGAAGGUCUUCGGAUUGUAAACCCCUGUCAUGUGGGAGCUAAUUAAAAAGAUAGUACCACAAGAGGAAGAGACGGCUAACUCUGUGCCAGCAGCCGCGGUAAUACAGAGGGCUCAAGCGUUGUUCGGAACCACUGGGCGUAAAGCGUGCGUAGGCGGGUUCGUAAGUCGGAGGUGAAAGGCGCUGGCUCAACCCGCGGACGGCACAUGAUACUGCGAGACUAGAGUAAUGGAGGGGGAGCCGGAAUUCUCGGUGUAGCAGUGAAAUGCGUAGAUAUCGAGAGGAACACUCGUGGCGAAGGCGGGUUCCUAGACAUUAACUGACGCUGAGGCACGAAGGCCAGGGGAGCGAAAGGGAUUAGAUACCCUGGUAGUC